UGUAACGUCACAGCCUUGGAUGAGUUAAAUAUAAAUUCAGUAUUUUUUUCAGUCUUACUUAUUACACUGCAUUUUUGUGACAUUUUAUCAUCAUGGUUAUCAAAGGGCAUUAUAUAGUAAUGCCACUUACAACAGCCUCUCUUAUCUUUAUUAUGAUGUACAGAUUGUCUUUCUGAAAGGUUCACACGUUUGCCUCAGUCACAUGGUUGAUCCAUCCUGCUUGGCCUCCCAAUAGGAUUUGCACGCAUCUGUUGUUUUGUUUUCGUGCAUCUCUGUUGAUGCCCCUGACGACAAUAGUACACUUGGGAGCAUUUAGAGUUUCCUUAGAUGCGUCAAAAAGUACAUGUUUUCUUUGAUGUGAACUGAUGAGACCCGUAGGAAGCUACCGUUCUAGAAGGUGUAUGACAUCAAUGGCAUCAUUUCCAAGGUCUCUCACCUUGAGUUUUUUUUUUGUUUUGUUUCGCUUUUUUUUUUUGCAACUUCCUAUUCAGUCCACCCUAAUGUGGCGUCUUGACGUUUACCAUCUUGCCUGCAAAUCCCAUCAGUGUCUCAUUUGCUAAAUGAAAAAAAAAGUCUGGAAAAUCUAUUGUCAUAGCAUGUGAACCACUCUUAAAAACGUGAUUUCCUGCUUUGUACUUUCACAUAUUACCUUAAUGAUUCAGCUUUCAGGAACAAACUUCUUGUUUAAUGCAGUUGAUUAAAUUGUGAUGUUCUCAAGAGAAAAAAA